UUUUUUUCUUUUUGUAUUCUUUUAUUUUGAAAAAAAAAGAAAGAAAAGAAAUCACUUCUUACUUUUG
rnacentral:ribozyme from 13 species